UCUCAGGCUGUGACCCUCUAAGGGGAAGCACUUUCUGUUGUCUGGAAGAAAAGAAUGCGCUUCCCCUUAGAGAGUUACCGUCUGAGA
rfam:Chlorocebus sabaeus isolate 1994-021 chromosome 6, whole genome shotgun sequence.